AAUGAACGCUGGCGGCAUGCCUUACACAUGCAAGUCGAACGAUAACAGGUGAAGCUGACGCGUAGGGAACGGGUGAGUGAUGUAUCGGAACCUGCCGAUUCGUCUAGCAUAACUACUGGGAUGAUCAGCUGAUACCGCAGAUGACCCCAGAGAGUAAGCGGAGGAGCGCAAGCCCUCGCUCGAUUAGGGCGUCGGUUAUCAGAUUAGGUAGUUGGUGAGGUAAAGGCUUACCAAGGCGACGAACGGUAGCCGGUCUGAGAGGUAGACCAGCCACACUGGGACUGAGACACGGCCCAGACUCCUACGGGAGGCAGCAGUGGGGAAUCUUGCGCAAUGGGCGAAAGCCUGAUCCAGCAAUGCCGCGUGAGGGAUGAAGGACUUCGGGUGGUAAACCGCUGUUGUCAGGGAAGAAAAGAUGCUGGCUUAUCCCUGGGAAUCAUGACGGUACCUGAAGAAUAAGCACCGGCUAACUACGUG
rnacentral:rRNA from 1 species